AUUGAACGCUGGCGGCAGGCCUAACACAUGCAAGUCGAACGGUAGCACAGAGAGCUUGCUCUUGGGUGACGAGUGGCGGACGGGUGAGUAAUGUCUGGGAAACUGCCCGAUGGAGGGGGGAUAACUACUGGAAACGGUAGCUAAUACCGCAUAACGUCGCAAGACCAAAGUGGGGGGACCUUCGGGCCGUCACACCACUCGGAUGUGCCCACGAUGGGAGUUAGCUAGUUGGUUGG
rnacentral:rRNA from 1 species